rnacentral:rRNA from 1 species
UACGUAGGGUGCGAGCGUUGUCCGGAAUUACUGGGCGUAAAGAGCUCGUAGGUGGUUUGUCGCGUUGUUCGUGAAAACUCACAACUCAAUUGUGGGCGUGCGGGCGAUACGGGCAGACUGGAGUACUGCAGGGGAGACUGGAAUUCCUGGUGUAGCGGUGAAAUGCGCAGAUAUCAGGAGGAAUACCGGUGGCGAAGGCGGGUCUCUGGGCCGUAACUGACGCUGAGGAGCGAAAGCAUGGGGAGCGAACAGGA